CCCGUCUCCUAGGAGACCCGGAGACCGCUGGUGAUUUUUUUUUGUCUUCUCUCAUAAACUACAAUUCGUUUUUAUUAGGUUUAGAAGAGUACAGCCGAUACCCUCGAACCUAUCAAUUCCCCUCCAAGAAGCCAUCCUUUAGAAAUAUGAGCCCACGUACAUAAAGAAAUAUGUGCCAGAGUGGCAGCACUAUUUUGCAUUCCCACCAGAGUAGAAGAGUUCCCUUUCUCCACAUCCCUGCCAACAUUUAUCAUCCUUUGGAGUUUUUGAUAACAGCCAUUCUGACAGGCACACAGUGAGAGAGAGAGAGAGGCAGAGACACAGGCAGAGGGAGAAGCAGGCUCCAUACACCGGGAGCCCGACGUGGGAUUCGAUCCCCGGUCUCCAGGAUCACGCCCUGGGCCAAAGGCAGGCGCCAAGCUGCUGCGCCACCCAGGGAUCCCCUGAACUGGAACUUAUAUCAUUUCAAAUUGUUUAGUCCUUGUCUUGGCUUCUAGAACUUCACGGAAUGAGUGGAACUCUUCCAUGCAGUGAUGGUUCUGCAAGGGCUUCAAGACAGUGCUCUUCUCUCUCCCAGCACCCGCCAAAGUAUUUUGAGUAUCUUUAUUUCUCCUAUGGCAUCGUAGAAUUAAAAAUAAUUUUACUUAUUCCUUGCCAGUGAAAACAUCCAGAAUAGUAAGCUUGC